rnacentral:rRNA from 1 species
AUUGAACGCUGGCGGCAGGCCUAACACAUGCAAGUCGAGCGGAUGAAGGGAGCUUGCUCCUGGAUUCAGCGUCGGACGGGUGAGUAAUGCCUAGGAAUCUGCCUGGUAGUGGGUGAUAACGUCCGGAAACGGGCGCUAAUACCGCAUACGUCCUGAGGGAGAAAGUGGGGGAUCUUCGGACCUCACGCUAUCAGAUGAGCCUAGGUCGGAUUAGCUAGUUGGUGGGGUAAAGGCCUACCAAGGCGACGAUCCGUAACUGGUCUGAGAGGAUGAUCAGUCACACUGGAACUGAGACACGGUCCAGACUCCUACGGGAGGCAGCAGUGGGGAAUAUUGGACAAAGGGCGAAAGCCUGAUCCAGCCAUGCCGCGUGUGUGAAGAAGGUCUUCGGAUUGUAAAGCACUUUAAGUUGGGAGGAAGGGCAGUAAGUUAAUACCUUGCUGUUUUGACGUUACCAACAGAAUAAGCACCGGCUAACUUCGUG